GAUGAAGAACGCAGCGAAAUGCGAUACGUAAUGUGAAUUGCAGAAUUCAGUGAAUCAUCGAGUCUUUGAACGCACAUUGCGCCCCCUGGUAUUCCAUGGGGCAUGCCUGUUCGAGCGUCAUUUGUACCUUCAAGCUCUGCUUGGUGUUGGGUGUUUGUCUCGCCUCUGCGUGUAGACUCGCCUCAAAACAAUUGGCAGCCGGCGUAUUGAUUUCGGAGCGCAGUACAUCUCGCGCUUUGCACUCAUAACGACGACGUCCAAAAGUACAUUUUUACACUCUUGACCUCGGAUCAGGUAGGGAUACCCGCUGAACUUAAGCAUAUCAAUAAGCGGAGGA
rnacentral:misc_RNA from 1 species